GACGAACGCUGGCGGCGUGCUUAACACAUGCAAGUCGAACGGUGAAGCGCCUUCCUUUUUGGUGGGUGUGGAUGAGUGGCGAACGGGUGAGUAACACGUGAGUAACCUGCCCCCUUCUUCUGGAUAACCGCAUGAAAGUGUGGCUAAUACGGGAUAUUCUGGGUCUGUCGCAUGAUGGGUCUGGGACAGAUAUUGUUUCGGUGGGGGAUGGGCUCGCGGCCUAUCAGCUUGUUGGUGGGGUGAUGGCCUACCAAGGCGGUGACGGGUAGCCGGCCUGGGAGGGUGGACGGUCACACAGGGACUGAGACACGGCCCAGACUCCGACAGGAGGCAGCAGUGGGGAAUAGUGAACAAUGGGCGCAAGCCUGAUGCAGCGACGCCGCGGGAGGGAUGGAGGCCUUCGGGUUGUGAACCUCUUUCGCCAGUGAAGCAGGCCUGCCUCGUUUGUGGGUGGGUUGACGGUAGCUGGAUAAGAAGCGCCGGCUAACUACGUG
rnacentral:rRNA from 1 species